GACGAACGCUGGCGGCGUGCUUAACACAUGCAAGUCGAACGCUGAAGCUCAGCUUUUGUUGGGUGGAUGAGUGGCGAACGGGUGAGUAACACGUGAGUAACCUGCCCCCUUCUUUGGGAUAACGCCCGGAAACGGGUGCUAAUACUGGAUAUUCACUGGUCUUCGCAUGGGGGUUGGUGGAAAGGGUUUUUUUGGUGGGGGAUGGGCUCGCGGCCUAUCAGCUUGUUGGUGGGGUGAUGGCCUACCCAGGCUUUGACGGGUAGCCGGGCUGAGAGGGUGACCGGGCACAGUGGGACGGAGAUGCGGCCCAGAGUAGUACGGGGGGCAGCAGUGGGGAAUAUUGCGCAAUGGGCGCAAGCCUGAUGCAGCGACGGCGCGUGAGGGAUGGGGGCCUUCGGGUUGUGAACCUCUUGCGCUAAUGGUCAAGCCGCAACAAUGGUUGUGGUGAGGGUAGUGGGUAAAGAAGCGCCGGCUAACUACGUG
rnacentral:rRNA from 1 species